CAGUAGCCGCGGGAAUACGGAGGGUGCAAGCGUUAAUCGGAAUUACUGGGCGUAAAGCGCACGCAGGCGGUCUGACAAGUCAGAUGUAAAAUCCCCGGGCUUAACCUGGGAACUGCAUUUGAAACUGUCAGGCUGGAGUCUUGUAGAGGGGGGUGGAAUUCCAGGUGUAGCGGUGAAAUGCGUAGAGAUCUGGAGGAAUACCGGUGGCGAAGGCGGCCCCCUGGACAAAGACUGACGCUCAGGUGCGAAAGCGUGGGGAGCAAACAGGAUUAGAUACCCCUGUAGUCCCUGUCUCUUAUAA
rnacentral:rRNA from 1 species